AAUGAUGUUUUCAAUAAGGCAUCAUUUGUGGAACCAACAUGAGAGGGUCCUUCCACGGUUCACACGGAAACGAUCGCCAAUGACCGAUGUUUGUUUUGCUACAAUUAGCAGUAUGCCUGCUGAACGCAAGCGCUCAGUAAACAUGGAUGAGAAAGACGUUUGCCCCCCUAGCAACAAGGAAAAAGAGAAGGAUGGUGAGAGAAGACCAGCAUCUGCUCGAGACAAAGCAAAAGACGAGGCCAAAAUGAGUGGUAAAAAAGACAGUGGCAAGGAGGAGAAGAGAAAGCGCCUAGAGGAGGAAAAGAAGAAGAAAGAGGAAAAGGAGCGAAGAAAGAAAGAGGAGGAAAAACAGAAAGCGGAGGAGGAACAGAAGAAGAAAGAGGAGGAAGAGAAGAGACAGCAGGAGGAGGAGGAGAGGAAGCUUCAAGAGGAGGAGGCCAAAAGACAACGUGAGGAGGAGGCAGCUCUCCUGAAGGAGAAGGAGGAGGGGCAUCAGCUGCACCAGGAGGCCUGGGAGCGGCAUCACUGCAGGAAGGAACUCCGCAGCAAGAACCAGAACGCCCAAGAGGGUCGGCCCGAAGAGGCUUUCUUCAGCCGACUGGACUCCAGCCUUAAAAAGAACACUGCCUUUGUCAAGAAGUUACGUACACUUACUGAACAGCAGCGAGACUCACUCUCCAAUGACUUUGGCUCACUGAACCUCAGCAAGUACAUCGGCGAGGCCGUGAGCUCUGUCGUGGAAGCCAAGCUGAAGAUCUCUGAUGUAGGCUGCGCUGUCCAUCUGUGCUCCCUCUUCCACCAGCGGUACACAGAGUUUGCUCCGUUACUGUUACAGGCGUGGAAGAAGCACUUUGAAGCGAGGAAGGAGGAAAAGGCGCCUAAUGUGAGCAAGCUGCGCACAGACCUGCGCUUUAUUGCCGAGCUUACCAUAGUUGGCCUCUUCACAGACAAAGAGGGCCUUUCUCUCAUUUACGAGCAGCUGAAGAACAUUAUUGGGACCGACCGGGAGACCCACACUCAUGUGUCGGUGGUAAUCAGCUUCUGUAAGCACUGUGGGGAUGACAUUGCCGGUCUGAUGCCCCGCAAGGUGAAACUGGCUACUGACAAGUUCGGCUUGGCCUUCCCUCCGAGCGAGAUAAUCAGCACAGAGAAACAGCAGCCCUUCCAGAACCUUCUACGGGAGUACUUCACAUCGCUCACCAAACACCUGAAGAAGGACCACCGGGAGCUACAGAACACUGAGAGGCAGAACAGGCGUAUCCUGCAUUCCAAAGGGGAGCUGAGUGAGGACAGGCACAAGCAAUAUGAAGAGUUUGCCACUUCCUACCAGAAGCUGCUGGCCAACACUCAGUCCCUGGCUGAUCUGCUCGAUGAAAACAUGCCAGAGCUGCCUCAGGACAAGACUGUGCAGGAGGAGCACGGUCCUGGCAUUGACAUUUUCACCCCUGGUAAGCCUGGAGAGUAUGACCUGGAGGGAGGGAUCUGGGAAGAUGAAGAUGCUCGUAACUUCUAUGAGAACUUGGUGGACCUGAAGGCCUUCGUCCCUGCCAUCCUCUUCAAGGACAACGAGAAGAGCAGCCAGGGCAAAGACAAGGAUGAUGCCAAAGAUGGCAGAGAGGGGAAGGAUGCGGCCAGCACCACAGAGGAACUGGAGCUGGACCUGGAGGCUCUGGACAUCACAGAUGAACCUCUUGAACUGGAGGGAGCAGACGAGGCAGAAAAUGAAGAACUGGCCAAAAAACUGCUGGAUGAGCAAGAACAAGAGGAUGAAGAGGCCAACACAGGGUCCCACUUGAAGCUAAUUGUGGACGCCUUCAUCCAGCAGCUCCCCAACUGUGUCAACAGAGACCUCAUAGACAAGGCUGCCAUGGACUUCUGCAUGAACAUGAACACCAAAUCUAACCGGAGGAAGCUUGUCCGAGCCCUCUUCACUGUCCCCAGGCAGAGGUUAGAUCUUCUGCCCUUCUACUCUCGCCUGGUGGCAACUCUUCAUCCCUGCAUGUCAGAUGUGGCUGAGGACCUCUGCUCCAUGCUGAAGGGAGACUUCAGGUUUCAUAUUCGGAAGAAGGACCAGAUCAACAUCGAGACAAAAAAUAAAACAGUCAGAUUCAUCGGGGAACUGGCCAAGUUCAAGAUGUUCUCAAAGACGGACACGCUUCAUUGUCUUAAGAUGCUGCUGUCUGAUUUCACCCAUCACCAUAUAGAGAUGGCCUGCACACUGCUGGAGACCUGCGGCCACUUCCUCUUCAGAUCCCCUGAGUCUCACCUGCGUACCAGCGUCUUGCUGGAGCAAAUGAUGCGUAAAAAGCAGGCACAGCAUCUGGACGCCCGCUACGUGACGAUGGUGGAGAACGCCUACUACUACUGCAACCCCCCACCCGUGGAGAAGACGGUGAAGAAGAAGAGGCCGCCGCUGCAGGAGUAUAUCCGCAAGCUGCUCUACAAGGACCUGUCCAAGGUCACCACUGAGAAGGUGCUGAGGCAGAUGCGCAAGCUGCCCUGGCAGGAUCCCGAGGUCAAGAGCUACCUGAUCUGCUGCAUGGUCAACAUCUGGAACGUCAAGUACAACAGCAUCCACUGUGUGGCCAACCUGCUGGCCGGCCUGGUGGCCUACCAGGAGGACGUGGGCAUCCAUGUGGUGGACGGAGUGCUGGAGGACAUCCGGCUGGGCAUGGAGGUCAACCAACCCAAGUUCAACCAGCGGCGGAUCAGCAGCGCCAAGUUCCUGGGUGAGCUCUACAACUACCGCAUGGUGGAGUCGGCCGUCAUUUUCCGCACCCUCUUCUCCUUCAUCUCUUUCGGGAUCAAUCCGGACGGCAGCCCCAGCUCGUUGGACCCUCCAGAGCACCUGUUCCGCAUUCGCCUGGUCUGCACCUUGCUCGAUACCUGCGGCCAGUACUUUGACCGGGGCUCCAGUAAGAGGAAGCUGGACUGUUUCCUCAUCUACUUCCAGCGGUACAUCUGGUGGAAAAAGAGCAUUGAUGUUUGGACCAAGGACCACCCGUUCCCCAUCGACAUCGAUUACAUGAUCAGCGACACCCUGGAGCUGCUCAGGCCCAAGAUGAGGCUCAGCUGCUCCCUGGAGGAGGCCACCAAACAGGUCACCGACCUGGAGAGGGAGGUGCUCGUCAAACUAGGUCUUGCCAUGGAGAAGGACGGACGCUCCAGUGCCAUGAGUGAAGGGGAGGUUCUCGAUGAGGAAGACGAUGACGGCGAUGACGACGAAGAGGGCGGCGCUGAGACUGAGGAGCAGUCAGGAAACGAGAGCGAAAUGAACGAACAGGAAGAGGAUGAAGGGUCAGAGAACGAAGAGGAGGAGAGAGAGGAAGAGGAAGAAGAGAACACCGACUACCUGACUGACUCCAAUAAAGAGAAUGAGACCGAUGAGGAGAACAAUGAGGUUACCAUCCGUGGCGGUGGACUGAAGCACGUGGCCUGCGCUGAGGACGAGGACUUCAUCCAGGCACUGGAUAAGAUGAUGCUGGAGAACCUGCAGCAGCGUAGCGGCGAGACGGUGAAGGUGCACCAGCUGGACGUGGCCAUUCCUCUGCAGCUGAAGAGUCAGCUGAAGAAGGGAGGCUCCGGACAGCCGUGCAUCGGGGAGGGAGAUUCGGACAUCUCUGACACCAUGCAGUUCGUCAUGCUAACACGCAAGGGCAACAAGCAGCAGUAUAAGAUCCUGAACGUGCCCUUGUCAUCCCACCUGGCGGCGAACCACUUCAACCAGCAGCAGGCCGAACAGGAAGAGCGCAUGAGGAUGAAGAAACUCACCCUGGACAUCAAUGAGAGACAGGAACAGGAGGACUACCAGGAGAUGAUGCAGUCCCUCGCUCAGCGUCCGGCUCCGGCCAACACCAACCGGGAGCGUCGGCCUCGCUACCAGCACCCGAAAGGCGCCCCCAACGCCGACCUCAUCUUCAAGACUGGAGGAAGGUGAGACGUGAGCCGCGAUCUCUGAAGCGCCGACGCUCAAACAAACCGCAGAAUGUGUUGGAUGGUGACGCUGAUUGGAGUCUGGGCCCAGGCUGAACGAGCGAGCGAGCAAGAGAGCGAAUGAUCGACCGAGUGAGAAAGAGAGAGAAAGACAAGAUCGGAGGGGAAACCGGUCGAAACAGGGGAUGAGUCCUCCAGACGCCCACCGAUGCCGGGACAGAGCAAACCCCUGACCUGAACACACACUCUUACCCUACCGAGGGGCCCGAGGAGGAGAGGCAAAACCAGGAGCUGGGGUCAGAGGUCAGGGGUCAGACAGAUGGCUCUCUUUCUUUUGGACCAGAGAACGAACUACAAAGAUGCAACACCUGACCGGCCGACUGAUGGCCAGACGGACAGACGGGAAGGCGGGAUGAACGGAUCACCUCCUGCUGAGGAAAAACGGACUCAUAUUUAGGAGUUAAAAACCUGCGAGUGGACAAAAUUUACAUGAGACUAGCAAGGGAUAUGGAUAUUUUUAUGUUUUUGGGACUCUUAAAAUAAAAACGGGAACACGUCUGUUCGGUCUAACUUUCUGCGAAACUGCACACUCGUCAAGGCAGCGCUGAGGUGGAGAGGAAGGGCAGAAUUGCGAGGUUUUAACACUUGUUCAUAAACUGUUCGCCCACUGAUGCAGAGGAAGACGUGAUGUUUUGUACACACAGAUGAAUUAUGUGGUUGAAAAGAUCGAAAAGUGGCUGAUGGUAUGCCACUGUUGUUCUGGAGGCAUGUCGCUGCCACUUCUCACCGGCAUACAACAAUUUGGUAACACUUUAUUUUUCGGAUCUGUAAUUUCGCAAGAAUUUCCUAAGAAUUUGGAACUAGAAAAUAGACGAUGUUCUGAGGCAGUUAUUUGAGUUUAGAUGUUGAUUAGAGCUGAAACAAUCAGUCGAUUGGCAACUAUUUUGAUAAGCAAUUAAUCAUUUUUAAGUCAUGUUUUUCGAGAAAAAUGCCAAACAUUCCAUACUUGUAGCUUCUCCAAUGUGAUCAUCUGCUGCUUUUCUCUGUAUUGUAUUAUUGUAAGAUGAAUAUCUUUGGGCCAUCUGUAAAAUUGUGACUUUUUUUUUGACGAAAUGAUUAAUUGAGAAAACAAUCAACAGAUUAAUUGAUAAUGAAAAUAAUCAUUAGUUGCAGCCCUAGUGUUGAGUUGAUAAGCAGUUGUUGAUUUCUGGAGGAAGUUCCUUCAAAGAACUGCAGGAAUUAAUGAACUGAAAGUGUAUUAAACACUGUCUGCAUUUCCCUUAUAAUUAUUACCAAAUGACAUGAUCUUUCCUACCUAUAAAUACUUAGUUACUAAUCAGCUCCUCUCUAUAUAAUUAUAGGAAACUAUGAGAUCUGUUAAAUAAAGUGUUACCAACUAUUCUUACUGAUAUAUGCCACUGCUAUGGUAAUGAAAUGCCCAGUGCACAGAAUAUCUGCUGUUCUACUGACAUAUAAUACUUCUUUUAAAAAAUUCGAUUUUGACAAUGCACAUUGGAAUGUAGCUAGCAUUAAUAGUCAAACUUUGUCGAGUAGUAGCUAUGGCUAUCAGGCAAGUAGUUCGCAUAAAUUACAGAAGCCUACCAUGAGCGUUCUUCCAGUGUAAUGUUUUAAUAGUUUGAGAUUUUGGGAUAUACACUUAUUUGCUAUCUGGCGGAGAGUUUGAUGAGAAGAUUGAUACCACUCUCAUAUUUGUACGGUGAAUAUAAAGCUACAGCCAGCAGCCGGUUAGCUUAGCUUAGCACAAAGACUGUAAACAGUGGGCAACAGCUAGCCUGGCUCUGUUUGAAGAUAACAAAAUCCACCUACCAGCUCCCCUAAACUAAUUAACACGUUAUAUCUUGUUUGUUUAACACUAACAAAAAACAAAGUGUAAAAAUGGCUAGUUGUGGUUGACAGAGGGUUUAAUGUGCCGGACUAUUUAUUGGCCAGGAGCAGAUACCAGGCAAGCAGUGGUGACCACUGGAAGUUACUGCUCCCAGCAAAGAAGUAGUCCGGCCCCUCCUGAAACCACAAAUUGUCAUUUAAACAAGCGAGAUAUAACAUGUUAAUCAGAGAGCUUUAGAGGUGCUGGUAGGUGGAUUUUGUUACCUUUGGACAGAGCCAGGCUAGCUGUUUCCCCCUGUUUCCAGUCUUUGUGCUGAGCUAAGCUAACCAGCUGCCGGCUGUAGCUUCAUAUUUACCUUACGGGCAUGAGAGUGAUAUCAAUCUUCUCAUCCAAGCAGUGGAACAUGAGUAACACAAGUCUGAAUCAACAUUUACCACAAGAACAAGAGUCUCUUACCAUCAGACACUUUUUAGGCGUCAUUCAAGCUCCUGGAAGAUCUGGAGACCUGACGGCAUCAAGUGACCUGAUCACUGAUGGACGCCUGAGUGUACAUAUUCUCCAUUUUUUCCAACUUCUAUCCCGCUAGAUGUUUUUUUGUUGUUGUUGUUGUUUUUCAGAAUCAGGAGCAUCUAAGAGUUAGUUGUGACAAUAUUCAGCUUGCUUUGAUUUGGAUUUGUGAAGUGUAACGUGGUAAAAGCUUUUUUUGUUUGUGUUUUGGACAAAUGGACAGCCGUGUGCUUGAGAGUAUUCCUUAGUGAUGACAGUAACUAUAUUAUUUUAGAUUAAUUUUAUCUGUUGAGCCUGUAGAUGGAUAAAUAUACUCUGUAUUCUGCUGCAUGGGCCUUUUUUUGCACCAACUCUUUGUCAUUCGCAAAAGGAAAAAAAAAAAGACAGCUUACAGCUUUGUGUCUCGGCUCAUGACAGACAAGAAUUAUUACAAUAAAUGUCUGAAGAUUA